GUAUAUGGCAUGUGGGCUAGUUUCAGACAGGU
rnacentral:piRNA from 1 species